CGCGAAGAACCUUACCUGGUCUUGACAUAUCUAGAAUCCUGCAGAGAUGCGGGAGUGCCUUCGGGAAUUAGAAUACAGGUGCUGCAUGGCUGUCGUCAGCUCGUGUCGUGAGAUGCUGGGUUAAGUCCCGCAACGAGCGCAACCCUUGUCCUUAGUUACCAGCGGGUUAAGCCGGGAACUCUAAGGAUACUGCCAGUGACAAACUGGAGGAAGGCGGGGACGACGUCAAGUCAUCAUGGCCCUUACGACCAGGGCUACACACGUGCUACAAUGGUAGGUACAGAGGGCAGCUACACAGCGAUGUGAUGCGAAUCUCAAAAAGCCUAUCGUAGUCCAGAUUGGAGUCUGCAACUCGACUCCAUGAAGUAGGAAUCGCUAGUAAUCGCGGAUCAGAAUGCCGCGGUGAAUACGUUCCCGGGUCUUGUACACACC
rnacentral:rRNA from 1 species